AUGCGGUUUUGAUCCAAACCAAACAUAUAUUUUGUGUUUUGUGUAUGUACAUUUUUUUCGUGUACACGAGUACAUUGAGUGAGCACGAUGAUGUGUACACAAAUGUUAGUGUACGCAUGUACAUGUUAAAGAGAUAUGAAAGUCAUAUUCUACUGCCAUUUGAGAAUCAACUUCAUUAAGCUUUGUAUAAUGAUAUGAAAAUCAUAUUCUACUACCAUUUGAGAAUCAACUUCAUUAAGCUUUGUAUAAUGAUAUGAAAGUCAUAUUCUAUUACCAUUUCAUCUUUGAAUGGAAUUAAUUUAAUUUUCCAGUGAUGUACA
rnacentral:lncRNA from 1 species